rnacentral:tmRNA from 1 species
GGGGUUGUACUGGUUUCGACGGGGAUUUAGAAAUAACGGAAGCCAUCUGUGGACCGGGACCACAUAAAAACCUGGAAUUAAAUUUAAACGCAGACGAAAAGUUAGCGUACGCUGCCUAAUGGCAGCUGUCUAAGCCGGAAUUCCUGCUGUCCGGAUUUUAGGCAUCAUCCUUAGCAGGGCACUCAGGAGCCUAAGCUUUGCGGUUUCUGAAGAUUGAUGAAGCUACUUUCCUACUGAGCCUGUUCGUAGGCGCUGUGGGCGGGGAAUGUUAAAAUACGGACUGUGAUGGGAGAUGCCGUUAUGGAAGAGUUUUCGGACCGGGGUUCGAUUCCCCGCAGCUCCACUU